UACGGGGGGGGUAAGCGUUGUUCGGAAUUACUGGGCGUAAAGGGCUCGUAGGCGGCCAACUAAGUCAGACGUGAAAUCCCUCGGCUUAACCGGGGAACUGCAUCUGAUACUGGAUGGCUUGAGUUCGGGAGAGGGAUGCGGAAUUCCCGGUGUAGCGGUGAAAUGCGUAGAUAUCGGGAGGAACAUCAGUGGCGAAGGCGGCUACCUGGCCCAAUACUGACACUCAGGUGCGACAGCGUGGGGAGCAAACAGGG
rnacentral:rRNA from 1 species